GACAGAACUAGCUAAUUAACCUUUUUGACUUUGAGAGGUUAUAAUGGGAGUGACUUGGAUCCACUUGAGCUCUAGGAAAUAUCUUAGGGGAAAUUAAUUUGACCACAAUUACAUUUUUGCCUUGGGAGUUUCAUUUUGACUAAUUUAAAUAUAAGUUUAAUAUUGAUAUAGGUGGUUAUCUCAAAUUCUCAAAAUGGUUGCAUUGCAGCUGGGGGGGCUGAUUAGAAACAGCGAUGGAGACUGGGUUUGUAGUUUUUUGACUUUUUUCUGCCAAUCUUUGUGUAGGAGAAAUAUUUAUAGCUGAACUAUGGACUUUGUGUAUUGGUUUGAAAAUGGCUUUAGGACGAAAUGCUACCCAUGUUAUGGUUGAGUUUGAUUCUUCCCUUGUGGUUAAUCUCUAUUAAUAAAGCGAGCAGCCGUUUACUGUUCAUCUUGGGGAAACUUUCGAACUUCCGAAAUUGACCUUGGUUUGGCUAACGUGAAAGGCAGCAAGGAGGGUUAGCAAAGUAAAUGCAGAAAAAAGGAGAGGAGGCGGAUAGAUCAAGGCCCGGGUUGUGCCGACGGGAGGAAAGAGGAUGUAGAGGAGGGAAAGGAAAAGAAGAUGAAGAGGAAGAGUCUGGAUUUUGAUUCGCUUUGAUCGAAAUUACCCGACACAAGGUUGGGUUGAGUAAUUCUGGGUUUUGUGUAUUGGAGAUUGAUGAUUAAGGUUUUUGAUGGGAGAGAUUAUUAGGUGAAAGAGUGAUUGAGGAGCGAAAAAAACCGAAAUUCUUGCAAGGAUUCGCUUAACGAGCUUGAAGCUAAUAUUCAGUUUGAAAAUACUUUGCUAUAAUUAAAAAGUUGGUACAUGAAAAGCAAUGGGAUAGGCAAGAAAUGGAUGAUUGAUGAAGCAACUUUCAGACCAGAGUCGAACCAAAGCUGUUGUCCAGUUGGCUUGGGAUGACCUAGAAGGUGAAAGGAAGUUGAGAAAGCAUUCAGCCGCACUUCCGCACGCGCGAUAGCGCGUGCAGGAAGGCUAGUUCAGUUAAAGGGAAGUGGGAUGAUAUCCAUUCUCUCCAUGGCAUCAUCAAAGUUUGCAAAGCUCUUUGGUUGAGGAAUUUGAAUUGCACGAUAAUGCAUAUCUACCGAGAAUGUAACAUGUCUGCAGAUGAUUUAGUACAGGGUGGACAUACUUUAAAUUUGGGACAACACUUUUUUGAGGAACCGCCUGAUUGUAUCAAUGGAAGACUCUAAGAAGAUAAAGAGGGUUUUCUGAGGCCGAGAUUUUUCUUACCUAGUUAGUGUUUCCCUCCUUGUAACCAAAAAAUAAAAAUAAAAAUAAAAGUAUUUUAUAAAAACGAA